rnacentral:hammerhead_ribozyme from 1 species
GCACUGCUGAAGAGUCACGAUGGGACGAAACGGCCGUCCAGUGU